UACCAGCACCCCGAGUGGUCGGGACGUUUAUUGGGCCUAAAGCAUCCGUAGCCGGUUCUACAAGUCUUCCGUUAAAUCCAACUGCUUAACAGGUGGGCUGCGGAAGAUACUAUAGAGCUAGGAGGCGGGAGAGGCAAGCGGUACUCGAUGGGUAGGGGUAAAAUCCGUUGAUCCAUUGAAGACCACCAGUGGCGAAGGCGGCUUGCCAGAACGCGCUCGACGGUGAGGGAUGAAGCUGGGGAGCAACCGG
rnacentral:rRNA from 1 species